CCUACGGGAGGCAGCAGUGGGGAAUUUUGGACAAUGGGCGAAAGCCUGAUCCAGCAAUGCCGCGUGAGUGAAGAAGGCCUUCGGGUUGUAAAGCUCUUUUGUCAGGGAAGAAACGGUGAGAGCUAAUAUCUCUUGCUAAUGACGGUACCUGAAGAAUAAGCACCGGCUAACUACGUGCCAGCAGCCGCGGUAAUACGUAGGGUGCAAGCGUUAAUCGGAAUUACUGGGCGUAAAGCGUGCGCAGGCGGUUUUGUAAGUCUGAUGUGAAAUCCCCGGGCUCAACCUGGGAAUUGCAUUGGAGACUGCAAGGCUAGAAUCUGGCAGAGGGGGGUAGAAUUCCACGUGUAGCAGUGAAAUGCGUAGAUAUGUGGAGGAACACCGAUGGCGAAGGCAGCCCCCUGGGUCAAGAUUGACGCUCAUGCACGAAAGCGUGGGGAGCAAACAGGAUUAGAUACCCUGGUAGUCCACGCCCUAAACGAUGUCUACUAGUUGUCGGGUCUUAAUUGACUUGGUAACGCAGCUAACGCGUGAAGUAGACCGCCUGGGGAGUCGGUCGCAAGAUUAAAACCGNGAAAGGAAUUGACGNGUGAGACGAGACGAGGACGACGACGAGGGGAGAGG
rnacentral:rRNA from 1 species